UAGAGCUUUGAGAGUUCCUCUUAAGAGACCAGGCUGUCUGUGACUGUAUCCUUGUCAGCUGUCAUGCAUGGUCUCAGUUAUAUGCUGGAAGGCUCUGAUAGAGACACUGGCUGCUCCUGGUUGGAAUGCCAUCUCCUGGUGGUAGAUCCGGUGCUGACCGUGGGUGCCGUCUUCCUCCUGUGCAGACUGUAGGCAUGUGCGUGCUAUUUAUGUGUCUAAUAGGCUUCCUUACUGAGGCGACAUUUACAUGCUAUAAAAAGUCCAUUAGCUGAAUUUAAGCUUCUCCAGAGAUCGUGGGGCGUAAUCUGCAUCUGGCAUUUGACACACGGGCUUGAAAAGUCCCAUGGACUCUCUCUCUCUGGAUCAAACCUGAGAUGGGAACAAUUAGCUCUGUGGAACAGGAUCCCAGGUACCCAAGGAAAGGAUGGCCGGGCUGACCAGGAAGCAGCACAAGGCAUAUUCUCAGACUUGAAGUAGCUGCCUGCUGAUAAAGGAGAUUAAGGUGCCUGCAGAGGCCAAGAGCAUAUUACUCUGGAGCCUGAGUUACAGACAGCUGCAAGGCACACAAGGUGGACACUGGGGAUUCUGCAAGGGCAGGAGGUGCUCACAGCUGAGCUGCCUCUGCAGUCCUAGCACACCACUGUUUACCUUUGCACUCUGCUCGGAGGCAGCCUCAGCAUCAAGUGACAGCUCUACAUCUGGGGCAUCGACUGCAGAAACACACCCAUGGCUGACACAGCCGCUGCACCCCUGUGCCCAUACCUGCCGCUGCCAAUGGAUGGGAAGGCGAUGGAUUUCAGCUUUCUGUCAUCAGCUAGAGCCAAGCAGUUUUUCACCGUCUUUUCUAGAAGUUCUUCACAUUUGUCUGCACCCCAGACAGGACUAUUACAGUGGAUCACAAACUUGGCAGGCAGGCCAUGGCCUGCACUAAUAGCAGCUGGAAGGGACAAGAAGAAGCGCAUGUCACAAGAGGCCAAACCCACACCUACUCUUCUGCUCGAGUGACCCCCCUAGCCACCUCUGCGGCCUUUGUCCAUGGGAGACUGCAGCUGCCCUCCUGCAGGAACUAGAAACUGCUCUUCAAGCACCUGCCCACUGAGACAGUAGCAUCCGGUUUGCUGCUAACCAGGAGCUGUGGACGGACGUCAGGGUGCCCCUCUGCCCCAGAAGCAUGGUGUGCUCUUGAGAGCGGCUCAGACCACACACCAGCUCCACUGAAUGCUGGUCAGUCCCUGGGGUGGACCUCUGAUGCCCUACACACUGGUCACAGCAGUCUGGCGGUGUGACCUGACCCUGCCCAUGGUGACAAAACAAGAUGGCCUCUCUAGGGGGCAGCUCUUCCCUUUCUUGCAGGAUGAGCCAGUUCCAGCCACACAUCUCCAGGACUGUCUGCUGAGUGAAUGGACAUGCCAAUCUUGGUUUUCCCUUUCUAACUAAGAACGGUGGUCAUGGCACAUAGGAAAUGGGUGUUUAUGUUUCCCAUUAAAAGGACAGCUGGCUGAAGAAGAUGGCUCGCCAGCAGGCUGGCAGGCAGGUGGCUCAGCCUCACCCUCGCUUGUUCCCUUGUUCCCGGCUCUCAGAUCUGUCACACUCUGCUUCUGUAAAUCCUUUGAAUUUGAGAUUGGGACACCAGGCAGACAGGAGCUACUAGGUAACUUUAAGAUGUGAAGGUGGUUUUCAUGAGCCUUUAGCUCUGCUGACACACUGCAUGGGCUGCGUUCUGAGUGCUCAUGCUCACAGGCCUUCUACCUUGCAGACAGUGGCACUGCUAUACACCCUCAGUCCUCAGCUCCUCCCGCGUGUGCCACACCAGUGAGCACGCACCCUUCCAGCCUUACCUCCAGCUACCUCCAAGGGCCCGUUCUUUUUCCGGAGUUCCAGAACAGCUUCUACAAACUCCUUGCCGCCCUUCUUCUCCAGUGUGUUUCCUAGGCAAGGGUAGGGCAGGGUCAGAGUGCCGCCCUGCCUGUGGCACCCAGACACUCAACAUGUCACGUGAUUACAUACUUUACGUGGCCUGAGCAGCUACAGUUUCACAAGACUGCAAAACAGGAUCUACGCCUUGGCUGGUCAGGGAGGGGACCCCUAGGAAGGAUUUACCCUUGGCCAGUGGCCACGAGGCAACACUGUGCUUUCUGGCUCCUUUGACUGACCCCACUCUGGGUGUCCAUUAAUUCGGGUGGGGAUGCCAGAGAUAUGAAGGGGGCAUCUGACCUUGGAAGAUGUGCCUGGCCUGCAUGUUAGCAUGGGCACCUUUAAAACCAGGUGGCAUUUGCUUCCAAUGAGCCCGCUGAGGUUUUAUCUCGGGGAGAAGCCCCACGUGAGGAGGUCCGUGAGCGAGCAGCGAGUGCUCCUCCUACCGAGCACUCCUGGAAGGAGGCCCAGGAGCAAGUGUCCUGCUGGCCACCUCUGGGCCGGCCCUCCAUGCUUAGUUCCUAUUUUGCAGCUUUGGUGUCAUAUGUGAAUUAAAUAAAAGAAAACAAGAAAAAUGG
rnacentral:lncRNA from 1 species